UACGUAGGGUGCAAGCGUUAUCCGGAAUUAUUGGGCGUAAAGAGCUCGUAGGCGGUUUGUCGCGUCUGCUGUGAAAACUGGGGGCUCAACCCCCAGCCUGCAGUGGGUACGGGCAGACUAGAGUGCGGUAGGGGAGAUUGGAAUUCCUGGUGUAGCGGUGGAAUGCGCAGAUAUCAGGAGGAACACCGGUGGCGAAGGCGGGUCUCUGGGCCGAUACUGACGCUGAGGAGCGAAAGCGUGGGGAGCAAACAGG
rnacentral:rRNA from 1 species